rnacentral:rRNA from 1 species
UGCGUAGGCGGCGAAGAAAGUUGGGUGUGAAAGCCCUCGGCUCAACCGAGGAAUUGCGCCCAAAACUACUUUGCUUGAGGGAGACAGAGGUGAGCGGAACUUGCGGUGGAGCGGUGAAAUGCGUUGAUAUCGCAAGGAACACCUGUGGCGAAAGCGGCUCACUGGGUCUCUUCUGACGCUGAGGCACGAAAGCUAGGGGAGCGAAGA